rfam:Camelus ferus unplaced genomic scaffold scaffold322, whole genome shotgun sequence.
GAGAAUAUAGGUCAGUGGUAGAGUGCAUGCCUAGCGUGCAGGAGGUCCUGGGUUCAGUCCCCAGUACCUUCG